UACAGAGGGGGCAAGCGUUGUUCGGAGUUACUGGGCGUAAAGGGCGCGUAGGCGGCCGCCUAAGUCAGACGUGAAAUCCCUCGGCUCAACCGGGGAACUGCGUCUGAUACUGGGUGGCUUGAAUCCGGGAGAGGGAUGCGGAAUUCCAGGUGUAGCGGUGAAAUGCGUAGAUAUCUGGAGGAACACCGGUGGCGAAGGCGGCAUCCUGGACCGGCAUUGACGCUGAGGCGCGAAAGCCAGGGGAGCAAACGGG
rnacentral:rRNA from 1 species